GUGAUGUCAUAUUCAGACGAAAUUUCUGGACGAUGUGAGAACUUUAGAGACAAGUGGAGCAAAACCCAGUUAGAUACUGUGUUACGUCAUAUGUGCGACUGAUUCAUAGUUUAAGUCUUUGUAUUUAUUUCCUAGUCCCUUCAUUCACCUCAAAGAAACCACACGAUUAAAGAAAACAGACCUUUAUUUUGGAAUGUAUUUAUUUUAGUAAAGUAAACGGCAGUUAGCCGCCAAGCUAAAGCCCACGAAGCAGCUGAUGUCAUUUAACUUUAACACAGCGUUAAUUCACUCAGUGUGGUCAGACAGAAACGACACAGGAAAUUCAGGACAAAAUUACUUUGGAAAUGAAGAUGAAACAUGAGGGAGGAAGCUAAGGUUCGCUACCCAGCAGCAAGCAGGCCAACCCGGGUUAAAGGUGGAAUAAUUCAGCCUGUCGGCGUGUUUGUUUGACCUCUAAUGUCAGCAGAUGAACAUGGAAACGGACCGAAGUGCAGUCACGAUGCAACAUGAGAAGCUUUUAAUAAGCCACUUCGAAAGAGAUGCGCCAUCUGCACUGGAGACGAAGCCUCGUCCAAGGCUGCAGUGGCUCCCCUGAAGACUGCUGAACGUUCAAGCAACAAAGAAAUAUCUGCACCACUCUGAUUGGGAGGCCAAAUCAUCUCAUCAGUUUACUUGACAGAACCACAAAAUUUUAGAAUACGACAGCAUCUGUACCCCCACUUGUCCACCAGAUGGAGUCCUCACAGCGUCAGCUGCUGUAAACUGCACAGUGUCAUUCUGCCCAGUAAAUAGCAGAUGUAUGCAAAGCUCUCUGUAGAUUAAAAUUAUGCAAAAGUACUUUUUAAUCUCAUUGUACAUGUGUAUAGUGACAAUAAAGUAAUUCUAAUCUAUUCUACUGUACAAUAGUAAUCUUGGCUCACAUCUUCUUCAAUUUAGCGCCCCCUUCAUCUGUCCUUGUUCAUGGCCACAUGUUUUUAACAGGCCUUGUUCCUGCUUCAUCGUGCGCACACACACACAGCUUAGUCCAGCCUUCGGCCAUGUUUGAACAGACACACCUGCAGCUCAUCAGGUCAGGUCUGCAGGUCAUCAGAGUCACAUGCUUUUAGAAGGGCUUAAGAAAACCGCAUGUUUCACAUUAAAACGCGUGUUUGGAUCAGUAUUUCAAUGUUCACAUUUGAACACAUAAGGAACACAACCGGGAAGCGACAGAGUGAUUUAAAAAUGUCAAAAACACAAAAUCUUUGAGCCAUCCUUGCACAAAAAGAAU